AAUCUUCCACAAUGGGCGAAAGCCUGAUGGAGCAACGCCGCGUGAGUGCAGAAGGAUUUCGGUUCGUAAAACUCUGUUGUAAGGGAAGAACAAGUACCGUAGUAACUGGCUGUACCUUGACGGUACCUUAUUAGACAGCCACGGCUAACUAAGUGACAGCAGCCGCGGUAAUACGUAGGUGGCAAGCGUUGUCGGGAAUUAUUGGGCGUAAAGCGCGCGCAGGUGGUUUCUUAAGUCUGAUGUGAAAGCCCACGGCUCAACCGUGGAGGGUCAUUGGAAUCUGGGAGACUUGAGUGCAGAAGAGGAUAGUGGAAUUCCAAGUGUAGCGGUGAAAUGCGUAGAGAUUUGGAGGAACACCAGUGGCGAAGGCGACUAUCUGGUCUGUAACUGACACUGAGGCGCGAAAGCGUGGGGAGCAAACA
rnacentral:rRNA from 1 species